GCUCAACCGGGGAGGGUCAUUGGAAACUGGGGAACUUGAGUGCAGAAGAGGAGAGUGGAAUUCCACGUGUAGCGGUGAAAUGCGUAGAGAUGUGGAGGAACACCAGUGGCGAAGGCGACUCUCUGGUCUGUAACUGACGCUGAGGCGCGAAAGCGUGGGGAGCGAACAGGAUUAGAUACCCUGGUAGUCCACGCCGUAAACGAUGAGUGCUAAGUGUUAGAGGGUUUCCGCCCUUUAGUGCUGCAGCAAACGCAUUAAGCACUCCGCCUGGGGAGUACGGUCGCAAGACUGAAACUCAAAGGAAUUGACGGGGGCCCGCACAAGCGGUGGAGCAUGUGGUUUAAUUCGAAGCAACGCGAAGAACCUUACCUGGUCUUGACAUCCUCUGACAACCCUAGAGAUAGGGCUUCCCCUUCGGGGGCAGAGUGACAGGUGGUGCAUGGUUGUCGUCAGCUCGUGUCGUGAGAUGUUGGGUUAAGUCCCGCAACGAGCGCAACCCUUGAUCUUAGUUGCCAGCAUUCAGUUGGGCACUCUAAGGUGACUGCCGGUGACAAACCGGAGGAAGGUGGGGAUGACGUCAAAUCAUCAUGCCCCUUAUGACCUGGGCUACACACGUGCUACAAUGGGCAGAACAAAG
rnacentral:rRNA from 1 species